AGCGUUGCUCGGAAUUACUGGGCGUAAAGGGCGCGUAGGCGGGAUGGCAAGUCGGUCGUGAAAUCCCUCGGCUCAACCGAGGAACGUCGAUCGAUACUGCUGUUCUUGAGGAUUGCAGAGGAGACUGGAAUUCCCGGUGUAGCGGUGAAAUGUGUAGAGAUCGGGAGGAACACCGGUGGCGAAGGCGGGUCUCUGGGCAAUUCCUGACGCUGAGGCGCGAAAGCGUGGGGAGCAAACGGG
rnacentral:rRNA from 1 species